rnacentral:sRNA from 1 species
AUAUAGCCCUGAUUGCAGCGACAUCCUUUUUUGUUCGGGCUUGAAAAAAGCCUUGGCGAAAAAGAUACAGCGGAAAAGCAGGUUCCUGG